ACGAACGCUGGCGGCGUGCCUAAUACAUGCAAGUCGAACGCUUCUUUCCUCCCGAGUGCUUGCACUCAAUUGGAAAGAGGCGUGGCGGACGGGUGAGUAACACGUGGGUAACCUACCCAUCAGAGGGGGAUAACACUUGGAAACAGGUGCUAAUACCGCAUAACCGUUUAUGCCGCAUGGCAUAAGAGUGAAAGGCGCUUUCGGGUGUCGUUGAUGGAUGGACCCGCGGUGCAUUAGCUAGUUGGUGAGGUAACGGCUCACCAAGGCCACGAUGCAUAGCCGACCUGAGAGGGUGAUCGGCCACACUGGGACUGAGACACGGCCCAGACUCCUACGGGAGGCAGCAGUAGGGAAUCUUCGGCAAUGGACGAAAGUCUGACCGAGCAACGCCGCGUGAGUGAAGAAGGUUUUCGGAUCGUAAAACUCUGUUGUUAGAGAAGAACAAGGACGUUAGUAACUGAACGUCCCCUGACGGUAUCUAACCAGAAAGCCACGGCUAACUACGUG
rnacentral:rRNA from 1 species